UUUUAAUAAUAACUGGCAUCCUAUUAUUUCCCAGUUCGAAAAAUGGUUUAAAACCCAAUUUAAUAAAAUUGGGGGACCCCGAACUAAAAAAUGGGCGUUAUAAUUAAAAUUUUCAUAUAUUGGAAAUAUUAUUUGGAAAAAAACGUAUCGCCAAUAAUUACAAUUAUAAAUAUGCAAAAUUUGCAAAGUUUUAUAAAAAUACUUAAAUUUAACGGAAAGUAAAUACGUCAAAUUAUAUAUUUGUUUUUUUAAUUGUAAAAUUAUUUACCGUAUAAAAAAGUAAAAUCCUAUUAUUAGGCCGUUAAAAUAAUUUAAUUGCAAGAUAUAUUUAAUUACAAAUAACUUUUAAACUUUUUUUUGGAAAACGGAUUUGCAAUUAGGGGUUAAAAUAAAAGUCUAAUAAGUUUCACCUGUUUGAAAAGGUUUUGCAAUUUAAAUAAAUUGCUUUAAUUUUAUCAAAUUGUUUAUAUAUACGAAUAUAUACAAUUACCGGAGGAAAAAUAAAAUAUAAAAAAGAAACAAAACCCUUUAUUAUUUACUUUGGAAAUUUAUAAAAACAUUUAAUUAAACAUUUGUAUUAAAAUAAUAAAAAGAUUAUAACAAUUGCGCAAAAGUUUCUCUUAUAUUGUAAUUUCAAAUAAUAUUUUUUAUAUUAAACCAAAUAUUAUAUAUUAUUAAAUAGUAGCGUAAAAAGGGAAAUUUUAAAGCUUAAUUAUAAUAAUAUAAAUAUCAAAUAUUGGGAAAUCGCCGAAAUUUGAAAUUUAAUUUAGAAAAUAUUAUGGGAACAAAUUUAAAAAAUAUUAUUUAGAACUA
rnacentral:sRNA from 1 species